GAUUAACAAGACAAGUGAUUGAGGCGUGGUCGGAGUUAUAGUAUAUAAACCAGAGCAUUUGUUCGAUAGAUAUCACUUGUGAAAACUCUUCCAAGCGAAACUAUUACAAUGUUCUUCAGACUGUUUACCUUCCUCGCCAUUGUGGCUGUGGCUUUCGCCCUCCCCAAACCUGAGCCCCAAGUGUGGGCCUACACUGCCGGCGCGUACCCAGCUGCUUACCCCUACGCCGCCGCUGCCUACGCACCCUACGCCGCAGCUGCAUUCCCAUACGCCUACAAUGCAGGAUAUUACCUUCGUUAACACCGCCCUAUAAAACUACAACUCGAGCUUGUUAAAUGACACAAUUAUUUACAUAUCUUCCGUCUUUAUCCUGAAAUUCAUUUUAAAGAAUAUUCUUAAAUGUUGUCAUUUACAAGUUAAGAUGUGGCUUUAAAUACUCAGACAUUUGCUAGAAAUUGGUAUCGAUAUGCUUUACGUGUAAAUAAAUUUUUUCGCAUA